rnacentral:rRNA from 1 species
UUCUGACCGUAAACGAUGCCAUCUCGCGAUUCGGAGGGUUUUUGCCCUGCCGAGGAGCUAUCCGGAAACGAAAGUCUUUCGGUUCCGGGGGUAGUAUGGUUGCAAAGCUGAAACUUAAAGAAAUUGACGGAAGGGCACCACAAGGCGUGGAGCUUGCGGCUUAAUUUGACUCAACACGGGAAAACUCACCCGGUCCGGACACCAUUAGGACUGACAGAUUGAAAGCUCUUUCUCGAUUUGGUGGUUGGUGGUGCAUGGCCGUUCUUAGUUGGUGGAGUGAUUUGUCUGGUUUAUUCCGAUAACGAGCGAGACUCUAGCCUGCUAAAUAGUCGGCGAAUCUUCGGGUUCGUAUAACUUCUUAGAGGGAUAAGCGGUGUUUAGCCGCACGAGAUUGAGCGAUAACAGGUCUGUGAUGCCCUUAGAUGUCCGGGGCUGCACGCGUGCUACACUGGUGGAGUCAGCGGGUUUUUCCUAUGCCGAAAGGUAUCGGUAAACCGUUGAAAUUCUUCCAUGUCCGGGAUAGGGUAUUGUAAUUAUUGCCCUUAAACGAGGAAUGCCUAGUAAGUGUGAGUCAUCAGCUCACGUUG